UACGUAGGGGGCGAGCGUUGUCCGAAGUUACUGGGCGUAAAGCGCGCGUAGGCGGGGGGUUAAGUGAGAGGUGAAAGGCUGGGGCUCAACCCCAUGCAGUGCCUCUCAUACUGGCCUUCUUGAGGGCGGUAGGGAGAAGUGGAAUGGCUGGUGUAGCGGUGAAAUGCGUAGAUAUCAGUCGGAACACCGGUGGCGAAGGCGGCUUCUUGGGCCGUUCCUGACGCUGAGGCGCGAAAGCUGGGGGAGCGAACGGG
rnacentral:rRNA from 1 species